rnacentral:rRNA from 1 species
CACGCUUCGCGCCUCAGUGUCAGUUACAGACCAGAAAGUCGCCUUCGCCACUGGUGUNCCUCCAAAUCUCUACGCAUUUCACCGCUACACUUGGAAUUCCACUUUCCUCUUCUGCACUCAAGUUCCCCAGUUUCCAAUGANCCUCCACGGUUGAGCCGUGGGCUUUCACAUCAGACUUAAGGAACCACCNGCGCGCGCUUUACGCCCAAUAAUUCCGGACAACGCUUGCCACCUACGUAUUACCGCGGCUGCUGGCACGUAGUUAGCCGUGGCUUUCUGGUUAGGUACCGUCAAGGUACCAGCAGUUACUCUGGUACUUGUUCUUCCCUAACAACAGAACUUUACGACCCGAAGGCCUUCUUCGUUCACGCGGCGUUGCUCCGUCAGACUUUCGUCCAUUGCGGAAGAUUCCCUACUGCUGCCUCCCGUAGGAGUCUGGGCCGUGUCUCAGUCCCAGUGUGGCCGAUCACCCUCUCAGGUCGGNUACGCAUCGUCGCCUUGGUGAGCCAUUACCUCACCAACUAGCUAAUGCGCCGCGGGCCCAUCUAUAAGUGACAGCGUAAACCGUCUUUCCAUCUUCUCUCAUGCGAGAAAAGAACGUAUCCGGUAUUAGCUCCGGUUUCCCGAAGUUAUCCCAGUCUUAUAGGCAGGUUGCCCACGUGUUACUCACCCGUCCGCCGCUAAUCUCAGGGAGCAAGCUCCCGUCGAUUCGCUCGACUUGCAGUAUAGC